GACGAACGCUGGCGGCGUGCUUAACACAUGCAAGUCGAACGGAAAGGCCCUGCUCUUGUGGGGUGCUCGAGUGGCGAACGGGUGAGUAACACGUGAGUAACAUGCCCUUGACUUUGGGAUAACUUCAGGAAACUGGGGCUAAUACCGGAUAGGAGCUCCUGCUGCAUGGUGGGGGAUGGAAAGUUUCGGCGGUUGGGGAUGGACUCGCGGCUUAUCAGCUUGUUGGUGGGGUAGUGGCUUACCAAGUCUUUGACGGGUAGCCGGCCUGAGAGAGUGACCGGGCACAUUGGGACUGAGAGACGGCCCAGACUCCUACGGGAGGCAGCAGGGGGGAAUAUUGCAGAGUGGGCGGAAGCCUGAUGCAGCAACGCCGCGUGCGGGAUGACGGCCUUCGGGUUGUAAACCGCUUUCGCCUGUGACGAAGCGUGAGUGACGGUAAUGGGUAAAGAAGCACCGGCUAACUACGUG
rnacentral:rRNA from 1 species